UACCACGUGGGAUUGUAAAUUAGGUCAGCCAUGUGGAAAGCAGUUCGGAGAUUUCUCCAAGAACAAAACAUAACUACUGUUCAACCCGGCAAUCCCAUUACUGGGUAUAUAUCCAAAAGAAAACAAAUCAUUCUAUCAAAAACACACGUGCCCUCAUAUGUUCAUCACAGCACUAUUCACAAUAGCAAAGACAUGGAAUCAAGUUAGUGCCUAUCAACUGUGGAUUGGAUAAAGAAAAUGUGGUACAUAUAAAUCAUGGAAUACUAUACAGCCAUAAAAAGAAUGAAACCAUGUCCUUUGCAGCAACAUAGGUGUAGCUGUAGGCCAUUAUCCUAAAUGAAUUAAUACAGGAACAGAAAACCAAAUACUAAUAAUGCCUCGUGAAAGUAGACAACUCUCCACCGGCCAGGAUGACCAGAAGUUCAGUAAAUGUUGCCGAGGUAAGAGACAGAGCAGCUGUGACAAGUGCGAU
rnacentral:lncRNA from 10 species